UACGUAGGGGGCAAGCGUUAUCCGGAUUCAUUGGGCGUAAGGCGCGCGUAGGCGGUCUGUUAGGUCAGGAGUUAAAUCUGGGGGCUCAACCCCUAUCCGCUCCUGAUACCGGCAGGCUUGAGUCUGGUAGGGGAAGAUGGAAUUCCAAGUGUAGCGGUGAAAUGCGCAGAUAUUUGGAAGAACACCGGUGGCGAAGGCGGUCUUCUGGGCCAUGACUGACGCUGAGGCGCGAAAGCUAGGGGAGCGAACAGGAUUAGAUACCCUGGUAGUC
rnacentral:rRNA from 1 species